rnacentral:rRNA from 1 species
UAGGGAAUCUUCCACAAUGGACGCAAGUCUGAUGGAGCAACGCCGCGUGAGUGAAGAAGGUUUUCGGACCGUAAAGCUCUGUUGUUGGUGAAGAAGGAUAGAGGUAGUAACUGGCCUUUAUUUGACGGUAAUCAACCAGAAAGUCACGGCUAACUACGUGCCAGCAGCCGCGGUAAUACGUAGGUGGCAAGCGUUGUCCGGAUUUAUUGGGCGUAAAGCGAGCGCAGGCGGAAGAAUAAGUCUGAUGUGAAAGCCCUCGGCUUAACCGAGGAAUUGCAUCGGAAACUGUUUUUCUUAAGUGCAGAAGAGGAGAGUAGAACUCCAUGUGUAGCGGUGGAAUGCGUAGAUAUAUGGAAGAAUACCAGUGGCGAAGGCGGCUCUCUGGUCUGCAACUGACGCUGAGGCUCGAAAGCAUGGGUAGCGAACAGGAUUAGAUACCCUGGUAGUCCAUGCCGUAAACGAUGAGUGCUAAGUGUUGGGAGGCUUCCGCCUCUCAGUGCUGCAGCUAACGCAUUAAGCACUCCGCCUGGGGGAGUACGACCGCAAGGUUG